UUCGCCCUUAGAGUUUGAUCCUGGCUCAGGACGAACGCUGGCGGCGCGCCUAACACAUGCAAGUCGAACGGAGCUGAUAGGAGCUUGCUUUUCUCAGCUUAGUGGCGAACGGGUGAGUAACGCGUGAGUAACCUGCCCUGGAGUGCGGGGACAACAGUUGGAAACAACUGCUAAUACCGCAUAAGCCCACGGCCCGGCAUCGGGCUGCGGGAAAAGGAUUUAUUCGCUUCAGGAUGGACUCGCGUCCAAUUAGCUAGUUGGUGAGGUAACGGCCCACCAAGGCGACGAUUGGUAGCCGGACUGAGAGGUUGAACGGCCACAUUGGGACUGAGACACGGCCCACACUCCUACGGGAGGCAGCAGUGGGGGAUAUUGCACAAUGGGGGAAACCCUGAUGCAGCGACGCCGCGUGGAGGAAGAAGGUUUUCGGAUUGUAAGCUCCUGUCGUUAGGGACGAUAAUGACGGUACCUAACAAGAAAGCACCGGCUAACUACGUGCCAGCAGCCGCGGUAAAACGUAGGGUGCAAGCGUUGUCCGGAAUUACUGGGUGUAAAGGGAGCGCAGGCGGACCGGCAAGUUGGAAGUGAAAACUAUGGGCUCAACCCAUAAAUUGCUUUCAAAACUGCUGGCCUUGAGUAGUGCAGAGGUAGGUGGAAUUCCCGGUGUAGCGGUGGAAUGCGUAGAUAUCGGGAGGAACACCAGUGGCGAAGGGCGACUUACUGGGCACCAACUGACGCUGAGGCUGGAAAGCAUGGGUAGCAAACAGGAUUAGAUACCCUGGUAGUCCAUGCCGUAAACGAUGAUUACUAGGUGUUGGAGGAUUGACCCCUUCAGUGCCGCAGUUAACACAAUAAGUAAUCCACCUGGGGAGUACGACCGCAAGGUUGAAACUCAAAGGAAUUGACGGGGGCCCGCACAAGCAGUGGAGUAUGUGGUUUAAUUUGAAGCAACGCGAAGAACCUUACCAGGUCUUGACAUCCGAUGCAUAGUGCAGAGAUGCAUGAAGUCCUUUGGGACAUCGAGACAGGUGGUGCAUGGUUGUCGUCAGCUCGUGUCGUGAGAUGUUGGGUUAAGUCCCGCAAUCGAGCGCAACCUUUAUUGCCAGUUACUACGAUAAGAGGACUCUGGCGAGACUUGCCGUUGACAAACCGGAGGAAGGUGGGGAUGAUGUCUAAAUCAUCAUGCCCUUUAUGACCUGGGCUACACACGUAGUACAAGGGUGUUUAACAAAUAGAAGCAAGACCGCGAGGUGGAGCAAAACUCAAAAACCACGUCUCAGUUCUGAUUGCAGGAUGCAAUUCGCCUGCAUGAAGUCGGAAUUGUUAGUAAUCGCGGAUCAGCAUGCCGCGGUGAAUACGUUCCCGGCCCUUGUACACACCGCCCGUCA
rnacentral:rRNA from 1 species